rnacentral:lncRNA from 1 species
GCAUUUCGGAGCAGGUGUGACACUUGAGAGUUCGGUCAUUUGGAGGAAUGCACUCCAGGGCUCACAAUGUGGAGAUAAGAUCUCAUUUCCUGAAGCUAGUAGAGGCCUGUGCACUCUUUCAGGGGCUGGGCUCAGUUUAUCUCAAGACUUGCUUCCUUGAAUUAGGAAAUAAUUCUGGAGUGUUUUCCCUCACAGUUCAGUUCUAAAUGAUGCCAGGCUCCUUAUCUCGCCAGACCCCAGUAGCUAGCCUGGUCUCCUGCUCCGCUAAAGCAGUAGGACAGAGUACCUUAGUAGACCCAUGGUCACUCCCCGGUUCCCCAACCAGCCAGUCUCUGGGAUAAACUGGUCCUAAGCAGUCCAGCCUUCGGAUGUCUCCGUGCCUUGCAUUAAGUUCCAAGAGACACCAGUCCAGUUUUCCCCAAUCCCAACCCCGACGCACAACCGCAGCGAUCACUUACAUGGGCAAGGCCCGCAAGGCGAAGAGACCUUCGGUUCAGAUGGCAUCCAAGCGGCUCCGUUGGGCGCACAGGACGACACUCCACACCCCAAAACAGGCGCUAAGGAGGAGCAAUUAAAAUCACGAAUACGACAUGAAGACCAGGACGAGCAGAGUUGGCGUUCUUAGUUGGUUGGUGCUACAAAGCCUCACCGUGUGGUUCGGCGAUUAAGUAAAAAUAAAAACCUUUCUCAGGCGUUGGCAAACCCUUU